AGAGAUGCACUGGGUGUAAAGCGUGCGCAGGCGGUUUUGUAAGACAGAGGUGAAAUCCCCGGGCUCAACCUGGGAACUGCCUUUGUGACUGCAAGGCUGGAGUGCGGCAGAGGGGGAUGGAAUUCCGCGUGUAGCAGUGAAAUGCGUAGAUAUGCGGAGGAACACCGAUGGCGAAGGCAAUCCCCUGGGCCUGCACUGACGCUCAUGCACGAAAGCGUGGGGAGCAACCA
rnacentral:rRNA from 1 species